rnacentral:rRNA from 1 species
CACGUAGGGUGCGAGCGUUGUCCGGAAUUAUUGGGCGUAAAGGGCUCGUAGGCGGUUUUGUCGCGUCGGGAGUGAAAAACACUGGGCUUAACUCAGUGCUUGCUUCCGAUACGGGCAGACUAGAGGUAUUCAGGGGAGAACGGAAUUCCUGGUGUAGCGGUGAAAUGACGCAGAUAUCAGGAGGAACACCCGGUGGCGAA